rnacentral:rRNA from 1 species
CGUGACGAUGAGUAUUUCGGUACGUAAAGUUCUUUUAUUAGGGAAGAAUAAAUGAUGGAAAAAUCAUUCUGACGGUACCUAAUGAAUAAGCCCCGGCUAACUAUGUGCCAGCAGCCGCGGUAAUACAUAGGGGGCAAGCGUUAUCCGGAAUUAUUGGGCGUAAAGGGUGCGUAGGCGGUUAAAUAAGUUUAUGGUCUAAGUGCAAUGCUCAACAUUGUGAUGCUAUAAAAACUGUUUAGCUAGAGUAAGAUAGAGGCAAGUGGAAUUCCAUGUGUAGUGGUAAAAUGCGUAAAUAUAUGGAGGAACACCAGUAGCGAAGGCGGCUUGCUGGGUCUUUACUGACGCUGAGGCACGAAAGCGUGGGGAGCAAACAGGAUUAGAUACCCUGGUAGUCCACGCCGUAAACGAUGAGUACUAAACGUUGGGUAAAACCAGUGUUGAAGUUAACACAUUAAGUACUCCGCCUGAGUAGUACGUACGCAAGUAUGAAACUUAAAGGAAUUGACGGGACUCCGCACAAGCGGUGGAUCAUGUUGUUUAAUUCGAAGGUACCCGAAAAACCUCACCAGGUCUUGACAUGCUUCUGCAAAGCUGUAGAAACACAGUGGAGGUUAUCAGUUGCACAGGUGGUGCAUGGUUGUCGUCAGCUCGUGUCGUGAGAUGUUGGGUUAAGUCCCGCAACGAGCGCAACCCUUAUUGUUAGUUACCAGCACGUAAUGGUGGGGACUUUAGCAAGACUGCCAGUGAUGAAUUGGAGGAAGGUGGGGACGACGUCAAAUCAUCAUGCCCCUUAUGACCUGGGCUACAAACGUGAUACAAUGGCUGUACAG